GGACUUUUAUCAACUGUGAAAAUCAGUGCGAGCCCCUUUCUUUGGAUCCUCGCAGGGCUGGGGAGGAACUUGUACUGACCACACCUUCUGUCCCCGGCCACCCCGCAGGCUAGAGGAAGAGGCGUACGACGAGGACGGAAACCCGCUGCAAGACUUCUAUGACUUGGAGUCGCCGGGCGCAGGGAGCCCCGCCUCCGCGCUGCGCGACGCCUCCGCAUUGUACUACCCGGCUGAGAGAAGAGAUGUCGCCCACGGGAUCCUUAACAAGGCCUACCGCAAAGUGCUGGACCAGCUGUCCGCCAGGAAGUACCUGCAGUCGCUCGUGGCCAAGGGCGUGGGUGGGAGCCUAGGCGGCGGCGCGGAGGACGACGCGGAGCCGCUCUCCAAGCGCCACUCGGACGGAAUCUUCACGGACAGCUACAGCCGCUACCGGAAACAAAUGGCUGUCAAGAAAUACUUGGCGGCCGUCUUAGGGAAAAGGUAUAAACAAAGGGUUAAAAACAAAGGACGCCGAAUAGCUUAUUUGUAGCGAUGAGUUACCAGCUACCCUGUGUAUACAGCCCU
rnacentral:sRNA from 1 species